AUGCAUGUUGUGCUUGACAGGACCUGCAAUGAUUCUUGGGUUUGCAACCUUGGCGGAUCUUUCUCCUCCAAGAGAUACUAUGAUCACUGUUUCAGGAACACGGUUGCUGACAAGCCUUUUGGGUGGUUGUGGAAGGCUAAGAGUCCAAUCAAAUUCAAAAUGUUUGGCUGGUUAUUGAUGGUUGAUCGACUGAACACUAGAAAUAUGCUGAAACAUCAUCAUUUUAACAUGGCUGGGAACAUAUAUACGUGCAUGCUCUGCCCAAGCCCCCCUGAGGAAACUGUCGAACAUUUAUUCUUCAGUUGCCCGUUCAGCCAACAUUGUUGGGGCAAAGUUGGCAUACUUUGGCCAAGCUCUGGUGAUAGACUAACCCUCAUUCAUGCUGGCAAACAAGGCUGGCGCCGGCCGUUGUUCAUGGACAUUUUCCUGCUGGCGGCUUGGAGUUUAUGGAAGGAGAGAAACAACCUUUAUUUCAGGGGGAUCCCGCAUUCCUUUCAUUCGUGGCUAGCUAGGUUUAAGGAGCUCUUGGCUUUAUUAGUGCACAAUUGUAAGGAGACCCUGCGUCCCUCUCUAGAGAACUACAUACAAAGUUUGUAG
rnacentral:rRNA from 1 species